rnacentral:lncRNA from 1 species
AGCACAGCACACACCCCAGAAUGCCCGGAACAACAGAAACCCUGAGUGUCCCAUGGAGCUUCCUCCCUCUGCACAUUCAAAAUGGGAUCACUGCUGUCUCUCUCGGCGGUUCCUACAUCUGGCCUGACCGUGCCUCUAGUUCCUCAGUACCUAAGUCUGAGGCCUCAGCGUGGUCCCACACAGUGGCUGGCUCCUUCACUGUCUCCUCUCCCAAGACCAAUGAUAUCAUCUCUGAGCCCCCACACAAGCACUGGCCUGAUAACACACAUCUUUAUUCUUUAGAAGGGACACUCUUUGUCUUGGUCCUGAGUGUACAGCUGCCUUCCCACUGAUUUUGUUCUUUUGUCUUCGAGACCAGUUGCCUGUCACAGACAUAUGUUCAUGUCACAGAGUGAUCAUGGUAAAACUAAAAUUAAAAUCUAGCUUAAAA